rnacentral:misc_RNA from 1 species
CCCAGAUUUAUUCUAUAGAUAUGCAUGGUUGCAGUUGCUUUUCAUAUUUACAACCAAGAUUACAAACUUUAAUUAUGAACAAAAAGAAAUGGGAAAAAAAUUUUAUAAAAAAAAAGGUUAAAAGAGAAAACCCAAAAAUAUUCAAGAAAUCUUAGCUUCCAGUUCUUAUUGUUACAUACUCAUUGAAUGCAGAUGGCCAAGGUCGCCUACGCUCAGUGACAUUCUUAGAAGCGGAUUGUCCAAGUCUUGGCCUUGAAUAUCUCACUAAUUGUUCGCGCAGGUUCUGGUCAAUGGUGCAAAGGAACUAAAGAAGGACUUGUGUCUGGAGUUCCCAAGCAACCCCUAGCAUUGAAUUUCACAGAUCGGAACUUCUGGCAACUUAAAGAGCGGAAAGAUGAAGAAAGAGGGGACAUUCUGGUGCAUCCAAUAUCAGGCUUGCAGGAUAUAGUUAUCACGGAAGAGGGUUCUGGCUCCUCACCUGAACACGUGCAGAAUGAUAGAGACAAACUUGUUCUGGAAAUUGCCUUCACCAAUGGUUUAGUUCCUGGGAGCUUCACAAAUGAAACCAUGCCAUGCCGGCAGAGAGGACAGGCAACUGAGCCAGGAGGACCUUGAGCAACCACUGAGGUGCAAAAUGAAGAACAGAGAUAUAAAGCACACCAUGUGCAGAAUUCAUGACCACAACCUUCUGCAGCAACUGUGCAUGCCCUUUCCAAACAAACAACACAAGGAUCCUGACAUUUGGGUAGCAAAUCCUCAUCCCUCCAUCCACAUUCUCUAGCAAUUUUGACAAUGCUCCCAAGGGGAAGAGAUAGAUAUGGUGAAGGAGACAUUUGUGACUGGUGUUCUGGCUGUAUGCUAAGUAUUUCCUCAAGUUCAUUUCUAUGCCAAGAAUGAGCAACCAUCAAAGGAGUCCAGCCAUUUGCAUUUUCAGCAGUCAGAUCGGCACCCCUGGCAAUCAAAAUUUGACAACAUUGUGCAUUUCCACCACAUGCAGCAUAAUGAAGAGGUGUGCUUCCAGCACCUAUGAGAUCAAUUGUAGUUCCAUCUUCCACAGUGACCUCAAAAACAGAAGCUCCUAAGUCCAAGAGCAAUUGUACAGUUUCAACAUGCCCAUUUAGUGCUGCCAUAUGCAGAG